CCGCACCAUGGCCAUCGACGGUGAGGAGCCCGAGUCCCCACGCCUCCCCGCCCUCAAGUGGCUCUCCCGCCACGGCCACAUCGGGCCUUCCGGAUCCGCGCGCGUUGUAGAGCUGGAUCCGCGCCUCCUCGCGUAGCCGCCGUCUCCCCGAUCUAGAUCGACGCCACCAGCCUCUCAUCCUCGUCUGCCGAGCGCCGCCACCACCCUCGCCUUCUUCCGCGACUACCUCCCCCCGCUGCCGCAUCCGCCAAGCCCGUCCCCUUCCUCCCCUCGGUCCAGAUCCUCCUCCUCUCAUGAUUCCCUCUAUCCCAACACCGACGCCGUCGCCUCUCCCGCAUGCCGGUCAUCCACCACUGCUGCACCCACCCUCUCCCCUUCUCAAUCUCGAUCCAGUCAGGCGCGUGCAGAUCCGAGGAGAUUUGGGCUCCUGAGGUGAAUGAUUUCAUCUUGAUUUCCGACAGCGCCUACACCCGGGAGCAGAUUCUGAAGAUGGAGAAGGCCAUCUUGAUCGCCGGCCUCCCUCGCCCGGGAAGAUGACCGAGAACCACCGCUUCUGGGACAAAUGACAACCACGACGGCUGCGGCACCAGCAGCGCAAUGGAGAUGGAGGCCAGCCGCGUCGGUUGGAUCCCAUCCCGUCCACCCCCCUUUCUCAGCGGGGCGUGGCACUCCAGGGACCUCGUGGCUGCGGUGGCCCUUGAAGAUGGCGAGGUAGGAGACGCCUGAUCUGCAGCGUCUGCGGUGGCCCUUGGACCUAGACGCCCAAGACCAGGAAAUGAAAAAUCGCUCGACAAACGGCCGCUUCCAGUCAGUUGGAUCUGAUCUUAUACCCGCACACGAGAGCUACCGGAGCAGCAACAGAUUAACAAGGACCCAAGCUAGACUCUCAAGUUCUUCGGCUGGAUGUGAUGAUUUGAUCAUUGUACUUGUUGAGCGUUUUAUCUGUAGAGUGCUAUAUUGUGAUUGGUGUAAUAUUGUAUGGUUAUAUUGUGAUUGGUGGAAUGUAAUAAACUUGAUUGGUAUAUUGGUGAUUUGGUUGUUAUUUGAAUAUAUUUAAAAUGUGUUCUCUGAUUGGUAUAUCA